ACUGAGAUACGGGCCAGACUUCUACGGAAGGCAGCCGUCGGGGAUAUUGCGCAAUCGGCGAAAGCCGUAUGCAGCGACUCCGCGUGGGCGAUUAACGCCUUCGUGUUGUGAAGCCCUUUUAUGGGGGAAGAGACAAGGACGGUACCCCAAGAAUAAGCGUCUGCUAACUACAGUGCCAGCAGCCGCGGUCAAACGUAGGACGCAAGCGUUAUCCGGAUUUACUGGGCGUAAAGAGCGUUGAGGCGGUUCCGUAAGUCGGUGCGGUGAAAAGCCCCGGGCUUAAGCCGGGGAGGUCGUUCAAUACUGCGGGACUUGAGGGCAGCAUGAGGGAGGCGGAAUUCCCGGUGUAUCGGUGAAAUGCGUAGAUAUCGGGAGGAACACCAGUGUCUAAGGCGGACUCCUGGGCUGUAUCUGACGCUGAAAGCGAAAGCUAGGGGAGCGAACGGGGAUUAGAUACCCCAGGUAGUCAUAGCCGUAAACGAUGGAUGCAUGGGUUUGGGGGGUAUAGAUCCCCUCCGUGCCGAAGCUAACGGCGUUAAGCAUCCCGCCUUGGGGAUUACGGCCGCAAGGCUUGAACUCAAACGAAUUGACGGGGGCCCGCACAAGCAGCAGAGCGUGUGGUUUAAUUCGAUGAUACACGAAGAACCUUACCUGGGCUUGACAUGUAGGUAGUAGUGAAGCGAAAGCGGA
rnacentral:rRNA from 1 species